rnacentral:misc_RNA from 1 species
GAACCCUUGAUUUGAACCAUUCUGCAGAGGUUUUGGAGGUGGCAAAGAGGAGAAUUUAUGAUAUCACAAAUGUACUCGAGGGAAUUGGAUUAAUUGAGAAAACUACAAAGAGUCGUAUACGUUGGAAAGGGUUCCAGUCAACAAAAUCUCAAGGGCUGGAUAACCAAGUAUCUACACUGAAGGGACAAAUUGGAUAUCUAAGUGCAGAGGAUCGCCGACUUGAUAGCUGCAUAAGGGAAAAACUAGAGCAAAUAAGGAACCUGGAAUCUGAUGUGAAUUGUCAGAAGAGCCUCUUUCUGACUGAGGAAGAAAUCAGAAACUUGCCUUAUUUCAGGGA